rnacentral:lncRNA from 1 species
UAGCCGAAAAACAAAUUCCAGGUGAAUUAAGUUGAUUUGAAAAGUCUUGUUCAUGCGCCUAGUCACAAGCAAGCAGGCAAGAGCAAGCAAGCAAUCAGAGGCUAACACGUGGUUUCUACCGGUCGUCCGCGGGUCCGGCAACGGUUGGCUCCACAGAACUGGUUGGCAACUUGUUGGCUCCACAAUACUGGUUCCGGCUUUGCCCUUGCGUCUUGUGCGAACAUCCUUUUCUUCUACGUGGCCCAAGGGCAUUUCAAGAAAUCAUUAGGUCAAUGCUUUGUGUACAAGAGGUUGGCCUCCGCCUAUAUAAGGAGACACACACUCCAAAGUAGGUAGCUCAGCAUCGAUAUACUAGCAACAUCUCCUCCCUUAUUACAUUCCGGCGUGCUUACGUACGUCAAGGAGGCAGCCAUGGGCGACGUUCCACCGGCGGUGGUGGCGGCGGCGGCGGAGCUCCACCAUUCUCCCCUGCCCGGCUUCCGGUUCUACCCGACGGACCAAGAGCUCGUCGUCUGCUUCCUCACCCGCAAGGUCCUCGGCCUUCACAUGGACCUCGACAUCAUCCCCGUGGUGGACUACUGUAGGUUCGAGCCCCACCAGCUACCAGGUACUGCACACGAGUACAAUCUUGGGUCACAACUCACAACACAUGCAUGUUUCAAAUCAAACCGUACUUGUGUGCAGGAUUAAAAAGUUCAACGAAAUUUCAGUGAAAUUUCCCAUAUUUUAGUGGGCUCCGAAUUAUUUUUAACCCUGAAAUUUCGAGGCAGAUUUUUACUGAUUUAAAAUAAAUUUAAAUUAUGUUAAAAUUCCUUAAAAUUAAACUCGAAAUACUUUGAAAUUUCGCAUAUUUCGAUGAGGUCAGAAAUUAUUUUGUUUCCGAAAUUAAAAACCUUGCUAGUGUGUGUCUGUGUCCGCGCGCGUCCCAUUUUUUUUUUGCGUUUGUUGUCACUUGAGUUUAUGCAUGCGUGAUCCGUACAAAAAGAUCGUUGCAGUCGAUUAAGUUGAUUCCUCUUUGUGAGUCAAGUAGUAGUAUACGUCAGUUGACUUGAUGCAUAUUCCGUGUGUUUGCACCUGGGCGCAGACAAGUCCUUCUCGCCCAGCACAGGCGACCCCGGGGCCAAAGCAGUGUGGUACUUUUUCGCGCCAAGGGGCAGAAAGUACCCAACCGGGCUUCGCAUGGAGCGGGCAACACUAAACGGGUUCUGGAAGUCCACCGGGAAAGACCGCCUCGUCAUGCACAACGGCGCCAUCGUUGGCAUGAAGAAGACGCUCGUGUUCCACGCCGGCCGUGCGCCUAGGGGCAUGCGCACCGACUGAGUCAUGCACGAGUACCGCCUCCACGGCCACCACAUCCAGGUAUCUUCAUUUCUUUCUUUUCUUGAUAAAGUUGUAACUGAGCUCCACACCUGACAUACACGUGAAUGGCUGAUCUGAUCAGGACACAUACGCCCUGUGUCGGGUCUUCAACAAGAACACGGUGAUCCCAUCGACGGACGUGUCCAGUGGUGCCGAUGCGGAUGAGGAUCCAAUGCACUUUGUGCCCGACGGCGUCGACAUGAACCCUGAUCUGAUGGAGUACGUGUUUGACGGCUCCAACUCGGACACGUACUUGAAGUUCACGCUUGAAGGCAUAAAGACGGACAACCGUCCAAUUGUGAACAAUGAUCUGAUGCAUUUCUUGCUCGACGGGGUCGGCACAGACAAGGAUCCCAUACAAGUUGAGUCCAUGUCCGAUGAUGCUGUCGCGGACAAUGGAGGGUUGCAACUCCUCAGUGGUGGUGGCGACAAGGGCAAGGGAGGGGAGCAGUUUGUGGCUGGUGGUGACAUCAGAAAAAAGGGAGGCACGGACUACGUGGUUGGCGGCGCCUACAUUAAUAGGGCAGCGAUGCAGCCCUUGACUGUUGACAUGGAAAAAGAUGAUGCGGGCAAGGACAAAUCCUGGAUGGAGUUUCUCCGCGGCGAUGCAUACUGGAAUCAGUUCAUUCCUGAUGACGGCUGGAACUCCAGCACCGCCUCGUAACUCAUUAAGCUUGUUAAUUAGAAGAGACAUGAGAGAACUACCAAUAUUUUUGUUGAUCCUUGUCAAUUGUAGAGUGUACCAUGUCCCCAUGGCAUAAAUUGUUGACUGUUGUCAUUUGUGGAGUAAGAUAUGUGCCUAUAAAUAUAGUUUUAUACAUAUGCAUAGUCCAUAUAUUUUGAUGUUGUUAUAGUACUACGUACCCACGGGCGCACUGCUGUAGGCGGUCACAUGUUUCAAAUGAAAUCGUAAUUUUGUGGGUGUGUGUGCUAUUUUUGCAUUAGCUUGUGAGUUGAAUUUACACAUGCAUUAUCCAUACGAGGAUCGUUGCAGCAUGAAUUGACUGGAUAUCCAUAACCUUUUAAUUAGCACAAGGCGCUGGAUUGAGUGGAUAUUUCUUUCCUAUUAAAGUUGUAUGAAUGCAUACUACUUUAUGAUCAUGUCAUCGCCAGCUUUCUGCCUAAUUAUGAAUGCAUAAUUCCAGACCACUUCACCCAUAGAAAAGCUAAAUUAUAUUUUCUUAUGAGAUAUUAAUUCAUUGAUAUAUUUUCAAUAAAACUCUAAUUUUAAAUGUUUUUAAUUUAUAUAUUUGAAUUCCUGACUGCAAGAUUUUUAAAACAAGACUAAUAAUCUUGAAUACAUUUUUGAUGAAUUUGAAUUAUUCAAGAAACACCAGGGCAACAAAAACCCAGUAAAAUGAUGGAAUACGCAUGGGGUUUGGCUACUUGUUGAGUAGACGCAACUUGAUUGGCUGAAGAUUCACCGCUACAAACCGUUAGAAACCUCUUUCCGAUUUGGUUUGUUGAUGGACAUGAUGGGCUACGCGUACGACAGGCGUUUACAAAAAUUAAUCCCCGAAAACCACUUUGGCCAAGCAAUGCAAUCAAAGCAAGCAAGCAUAUUGACAGACUUAAUUUGCAUUCCAGGCGCAGAAGACACCAUAUAUCAUCCUGGAGCCAUUGAACUUCUCCUCCUUUCCUAUAAGAAGAAGACCAACGGGAGGUCUAAACCAGAACCAAGCCAGUGAAAAAUUAAAGCCACUCCCCCACAGAUGCAUGCAUGGCGAAGCACGACGAGGACGACAUGUUUUGCAGGUGAACAAGACAAGAUGAUGCCGUGCGGCUGCACUAAGGGCGGGCGUCAAGGUCAAGGUCAAGGGAUGCAUGGCGGCGUACGUACCUGGUCCACCACCACGACUACUCCGGCGCGAGGUUCCCAACGAGAAGUCUUGGCGCUGACGAGGAGGGCGUACGUGAUGGACGGUGAUGUCCCGUGAACCGGAGGUUCUCCUCCACGCAGCACCCCACCACCACCGCCAGGUUCGGGAGCUUCACGCCUGGACGCCGGAGCACACGAAGCAGACCAACCGACAGCGGCACAUCCUAGCUAGCUUGCUUACCCCGCACCUCCUCCACCCCAUCCAUGACGCUCCUGACCGCCGCCUCCACCACCUCUCUCGCUCUCCCCACUAUGACUUUGCUUCUUCUUUUCAGAUCUGGAUCUUUGGAGGAAAUGCC